rnacentral:rRNA from 1 species
UACGAGGGGGAGCUAGCGUUGUUCGGAAUUACUGGGCGUAAAGCGCGCGUAGGCGGCUUUUUAAAGUCGAGAGGUCGAAAGCCCGGGGCUCAACCCCGGAAUAGCCUUUGAAACUGAAAGCUAGAAUCUUGGAGAGGUCAGUGGAAUUCCGAGUGUAGAGGUGAAAUUCGUAGAUAUUGGGAAGAACACCAGUGGCGAAGGCGGCUCUCUGGUCCGAUACUGACGCUGAGGUGCG